rnacentral:rRNA from 1 species
UAAGCGACUAAGCGUACACGGUGGAUGCCCUGGCAGUCAGAGGCGAUGAAGGACGUGCUAAUCUGCGAUAAGCGUCGGUAAGGUGAUAUGAACCGUUAUAACCGGCGAUUUCCGAAUGGGGAAACCCAGUGUGAUUCGUCACACUAUCAUUAACUGAAUCCAUAGGUUAAUGAGGCGAACCGGGGGAACUGAAACAUCUAAGUACCCCGAGGAAAAGAAAUCAACCGAGAUUCCCCCAGUAGCGGCGAGCGAACGGGGAGCAGCCCAGAGCCUGAAUCAGUGUGUGUGUUAGUGGAAGCGUCUGGAAAGGCGCGCGAUACAGGGUGACAGCCCCGUACACAAAAAUGCACAUGCUGUGAGCUCGAUGAGUAGGGCGGGGACACGCGGGUAUCCCUGUCUGAAUAUGGGGGGACCAUCCUCCAAGGCUAAAUACUCCUGACUGACCGAUAGUGAACCAGUACCGUGAGGGAAAGGCGAAAAGAACCCCGGCGAGGGGAGUGAAAAAGAACCUGAAACCGUGUACGUACAAGCAGUGGGAGCACAGAGCAAUCUGUGUGACUGCGUACCUUUUGUAUAAUGGGUCAGCGACUUAUAUUCUGUAGCAAGGUUAACCGAAUAGGGGAGCCGAAGGGAAACCGAGUCUUAACUGGGCGUUAAGUUGCAGGGUAUAGACCCGAAACCCGGUGAUCUAGCCAUGGGCAGGUUGAAGGUUGGGUAACACUAACUGGAGGACCGAACCGACUAAUGUUGAAAAAUUAGCGGAUGACUUGUGGCUGGGGGUGAAAGGCCAAUCAAACCGGGAGAUAGCUGGUUCUCCCCGAAAGCUAUUUAGGUAGCGCCUCGUGAAUUCAUCUCCGGGGGUAGAGCACUGUUUCGGCAAGGGGGUCAUCCCGACUUACCAACCCGAUGCAAACUGCGAAUACCGGAGAAUGUUAUCACGGGAGACACACGGCGGGUGCUAACGUCCGUCGUGAAGAGGGAAACAACCCAGACCGCCAGCUAAGGUCCCAAAGUCAUGGUUAAGUGGGAAACGAUGUGGGAAGGCCCAGACAGCCAGGAUGUUGGCUUAGAAGCAGCCAUCAUUUAAAGAAAGCGUAAUAGCUCACUGGUCGAGUCGGCCUGCGCGGAAGAUGUAACGGGGCUAAACCAUGCACCGAAGCUGCGGCAGCGACGCUGAUGCGUUGUUGGGUAGGGGAGCGUUCUGUAAGCCUGCGAAGGUGUGCUGUGAGGCAUGCUGGAGGUAUCAGAAGUGCGAAUGCUGACAUAAGUAACGAUAAAGCGGGUGAAAAGCCCGCUCGCCGGAAGACCAAGGGUUCCUGUCCAACGUUAAUCGGGGCAGGGUGAGUCGACCCCUAAGGCGAGGCCGAAAGGCGUAGUCGAUGGGAAACAGGUUAAUAUUCCUGUACUUGGUGUUACUGCGAAGGGGGGACGGAGAAGGCUAUGUUGGCCGGGCGACGGUGGUCCCGGUUUAAGCGUGUAGGCUGGUUUUCCAGGCAAAUCCGGAAAAUCAAGGCUGAGGCGUGAUGACGAGGCACUACGGUGCUGAAGCAACAAAUGCCCUGCUUCCAGGAAAAGCCUCUAAGCAUCAGGUAACAUCAAAUCGUACCCCAAACCGACACAGGUGGUCAGGUAGAGAAUACCAAGGCGCUUGAGAGAACUCGGGUGAAGGAACUAGGCAAAAUGGUGCCGUAACUUCGGGAGAAGGCACGCUGAUAUGUAGGUGAAGUCCCUCGCGGAUGGAGCUGAAAUCAGUCGAAGAUACCAGCUGGCUGCAACUGUUUAUUAAAAACACAGCACUGUGCAAACACGAAAGUGGACGUAUACGGUGUGACGCCUGCCCGGUGCCGGAAGGUUAAUUGAUGGGGUCAGCGCAAGCGAAGCUCUUGAUCGAAGCCCCGGUAAACGGCGGCCGUAACUAUAACGGUCCUAAGGUAGCGAAAUUCCUUGUCGGGUAAGUUCCGACCUGCACGAAUGGCGUAAUGAUGGCCAGGCUGUCUCCACCCGAGACUCAGUGAAAUUGAACUCGCUGUGAAGAUGCAGUGUACCCGCGGCAAGACGGAAAGACCCCGUGAACCUUUACUAUAGCUUGACACUGAACAUUGAGCCUUGAUGUGUAGGAUAGGUGGGAGGCUUUGAAGUGUGGACGCCAGUCUGCAUGGAGCCGGCCUUGAAAUACCACCCUUUAAUGUUUGAUGUUCUAACGUUGACCCGUAAUCCGGGUUGCGGACAGUGUCUGGUGGGUAGUUUGACUGGGGCGGUCUCCUCCUAAAGAGUAACGGAGGAGCACGAAGGUUGGCUAAUCCUGGUCGGACAUCAGGAGGUUAGUGCAAUGGCAUAAGCCAGCUUGACUGCGAGCGUGACGGCGCGAGCAGGUGCGAAAGCAGGUCAUAGUGAUCCGGUGGUUCUGAAUGGAAGGGCCAUCGCUCAACGGAUAAAAGGUACUCCGGGGAUAACAGGCUGAUACCGCCCAAGAGUUCAUAUCGACGGCGGUGUUUGGCACCUCGAUGUCGGCUCAUCACAUCCUGGGGCUGAAGUAGGUCCCAAGGGUAUGGCUGUUCGCCAUUUAAAGUGGUACGCGAGCUGGGUUUAGAACGUCGUGAGACAGUUCGGUCCCUAUCUGCCGUGGGCGCUGGAGAACUGAGGGGGGCUGCUCCUAGUACGAGAGGACCGGAGUGGACGCAUCACUGGUGUUCGGGUUGUCAUGCCAAUGGCACUGCCCGGUAGCUAAAUGCGGAAGAGAUAAGUGCUGAAAGCAUCUAAGCACGAAACUUGCCCCGAGAUGAGUUCUCCCUGACUCCUUGAGAGUCCUGAAGGAACGUUGAAGACGACGACGUUGAUAGGCCGGGUGUGUAAGCGCAGCGAUGCGUUGAGCUAACCGGUACUAAUGAACCGUGAGGCUUAACCU